UGCAUAAUAGAAUAGUUUCAAAUUCAAACAAAAGCAGAAAAAAUCGGUCAGUACUUUUUUCCAGCAAAGUAAAUAACCAAAGUAAAGUAAUUUACCUUCUCCACACAUACUUCGACAGAGAAAAUUGAAGGAACGAUCUGAAAACAGUCUUUAAUUUGUAAGUGUUUGUUGAUUUUAUAUUAUUUUUUACCUGGCUUUAUAACUAAUAUAUCAUUUAAUAUAUAUUUUAGAUCUGCCAUGCUACAUCAGACUAAGGCCGUGUUCACACCAAACGCCGUGUACAGUAAACAUGUUUACCUUUGGUUUAAUGUAAAGUACACUAGUUUCACAUUUAAGUUGUUUACAUCUAUACACUUUGUUAAGUUACCUGUACAUAAGAUUUGUUCACACUUGUAAACUAUAUAUCAUUUAAAUGUUCAAUACGUAAAACCGAAUUCAAGUUUUCGAAGAAUUUUUCUAGCAGUUAGGGAACGACCAUUUGACUUUAAGAAGAGGGGGGGGUGGAUUUUUCCACAGUUUGAUUUAAAAAAAGAAUCGGGUCUAACAGAUGAUUAGAAUGAACAAAUAUUCUGAAUCCAAAGUUUCCCGAUACAUUAUAGUGUUAAUAUUGAAUUACAUCGAAAAAAAAAUGAAUAUAAAUUUACGCGCGACACAAAAUCUGACUCGGAACCCCCCCUUUUUUUAAAGUAAAAUAGUUGCUCCUUUAAAAAAGUCAUUUUGGUUAAUUUGUAGUAGUUUAAAGAUGUCUCGAUUACGCAUUAAAAACGUAGGCUGCAUCAGAAUGCUUACAGACGAUGAAAAAGAAUUGCGAUGUAAAGGAUCACUACAUUUCUAUCUUUUUUGUUUGUUUCAAAUGGCAUUUUUUCUCCAAAGUGUAUUUGGUAAAGGGAGGGGUAAUGUUGUUUUUUAUUUUUUCUGAUUGUAUUUUAACGGAUCUGAGAUACUUCACAAACAAACAUUUAACCUCGACCUUUUGCAGUAAUACAUUCAUGAGUGAAUCGUGGUUUGAGUAAAGACCAGUGGCAAAAUAUUCUGUCAAUGUGUACGUCCAGUCGCUUCGAGAAGACCUUUUCAAAUGAAUUAUGUGUUCGGCAAUGAUGAUGGAUGAGUCCUGAUUAGAGAUUAAUAAGGCUACGUAAAGUGGUUUUUAUAUCAAAUAAAUAUAUCAAGUUCAGACAAAUAUUUCUGUAAAGAACUUUAUUAAUAAGUGUUAUAAGUAUCAAUUUUAUAUAAAAAUCGUUUUUUUUCAAAUAUACAUGAGAAAAUUAAAGUUCUGAAUGCCUAGUUUUGAGUACACUUAACCUACACAAGGCCUACAUCAACUAUCGACUGUAUGUAGACAAAACAUGAUUUAAACUACAUGUAAACAUUGCGUUUUAUCAAUGAGAACGUAAUUAUGUUUAGUUUAUGUGUGGAUUACACUAACACCGAUUUUAGGUCAAUGUGAACACGACCUAAGAAAAAAGUUUCUGACCUUUUUGUUUACCUUAGCUGUAUUUAGCACCACUUUUGGGAAUUUUUGAUUCUCGAUGAUCUUCAACUUCGUACUAUACUUGGCAUUUUAAACGGUUUUCGAUUCGAGCGUCACUAAUGAGUCUUUUGUAGAAGAAACGCGCGUCUUACGCAAAUUCAAAAAUU
rnacentral:lncRNA from 1 species